CGGUAUCCUAGCUCCACUGGCGUAUAUUAACGUUGCUGCAGUUAAACAGCUCGUAGUUGGAUGUGUGGAGGCCGGGAGGCGGCGAGGCCAAGCGUUUCGCAAGCAGACCGGCAGCCAUUAGCCUUUCAAGAUUUGCGGGCAUUGAGUUGUCUGCUGAUUGUCGAGAGGCCAUUUACUGUGAGAAAAGGAGAGUGUUCAAAGCGGGCGAAAGCUGGAAUACAUUAGCGUGGGAUGAUGAGAUAGAACAGAGGUUUUAUUUCGCUGGUUUAUGAGCCUUUGUGAUGAUAUAGAGGGGCAGUUGGGGGUAUUCAUACUUGCCAGUCAGAGGUGAAAUUCUUGGAUUUGGCAAAGAUGGACUGGUGCGAAAGCAUUUACCAAGGAUGUUCUCGCUAAUCAAGAACGAAAGUUAGGGGAUCGAAGAGGAUUAGAUACCCUCGUAGUCCUAACCGUAAACGAUGCCGACUCGGGAUUGGGCACUGUUGUUUGAGACGUGCUCAGGACCGUUCGAGAAAUCAAAGUCUUUGGGUUCCGGGGGGAGUAUGGUCGCAAGGCUGAAACUUAAAGGAAUUGACGGAAGGGCACCACCAGGAGUGGAGCCUGCGGCUUAAUUUGACUCAACACGGGGAAACUUACCAGGUCCGGACAUGAGAAGGAUUGACAGAUUGAGAGUUCUUUCUUGAUUUCAUGGGUGGUGGUGCAUGGCCGUUCUUAGUUGGUGGAGCGAUUUGUCUGGUUAAUUCCGUUAACGAACGAGACCUCCGCCUGCUAAAUAGGUGCUGCAAUUCUGAGAUUGUAGCAGCUUCUUAGAGGGACUUUGGGCGUUUAGCCCGAGGAAGUUGGAGGCGAUAACAGGUCUGUGAUGCCCUUAGAUGUCCUGGGCUGCACGCGCGCUACACUGAUGCGUUCAGAGAGCGAUCCUUGGCUGACAAGUCACGGGAAAUCUCGAAAGCGUAUCGUGAUGGGGAUAGAUGAUUGGAAUUAUUCAUCUUGAACGAGGAAUUCCUAGUAAACGCGAGUCAUCAGCUCGCAUUGAUUACGUCCCUGCCCCUUGUACACACCGCCC
rnacentral:rRNA from 1 species